rnacentral:rRNA from 1 species
ACGCUCGACACCACGGGAGCAGCAGUGGGGAAUAUUGCACAAUGGGGGAAACCCUGAUGCAGCGACGCCGAGUGAGGGAAGAAGGUUUUCGGAUUGUAAACCUCUGUCCUUGGUGAAGAUAAUGACGGUAACCAAGGAGGAAGCUACGGCUAACUACGUGCCAGCAGCCGCGGUAAUCUGAGCGGGCUGGCAAGGC